AGCUUUCCUCUGGCAGAUCCUUCCAUCAGGCCUUUUCCAUAUUGGAGCCAGCUGAACAUGAACUAAAAACAUAAGGAGUGGGCACAGAACCAAGUGAUCCUGGCAAUAGUGAUUGCUUAAAACAUGUAUGAGUGACUUCUCCAGGCCUCAGAUUCUCCAUGAAAAUUUCAGGAAAGAGAUCCUUUCUCUACCAGUUACUGAAUAUAGACCUGGAGCUGCUGCUGGCAUCUAUGCCUUUGUUUGGUACAUCAGAAGAUGUGACUGGAAAACACAACAUUACUAAGGAAAGGACUCAAAACCUUGCAUAGAAGAACUCAGAGGAUCCUGGCUUUCUUCUUUCUCAACUACAUUGUAGCUAAAAAACACCCUGCACAACUGGAACAGCCAGCUAACCCUCCAGAGGGCUCUUUGGAUCAUGACAUCCAUCAUGUCUGUCUGUUGCCAUACUGCAAUGAAACAUGGAGCAUGCUAUUAUUCCCUUUUUACAGAGGGGGAGAUCAAGCCAUACUUGACUACAGAAUGUAGACUAGAUGUCCCCCAAAAGCCCCAUGUGGUCAUAGAUGGGACUUUUUGAAGGGGGCUGGAACUGGAGUCUGUAUGCUGGAAUCAAGGAUGUGAUGCUGGCAUCGAUUCAUGCUGCAAUGAUAGGAUUAAGGCUUCCUGCCCUGGUUGUGAAUGCUACGGGGGCCUAAAGGUAGGUAGCCUGGAGGGACAGAAAGAAGAUCCCUGCUUAUUGCUUGUUGCUUGUUGCCUUCUGCCUGCCAUGAACUGUUUCUCCUCUGCAAUGCCCCUCUGCCAUGUCACCCUGCCCUAGAGCCAGCCAACUAUGAAUUAAAACCUCUAAAAACUGUGAG
ensembl:lncRNA